rnacentral:rRNA from 1 species
GACGGAGGGGGCUAGCGUUGUUCGGAAUGACUGGGUGUAAAGGGCGCGUAGGCGGUAUUUUAAGUGAGGCGUGAAAGCCCUGGGCUUAACCCAGGAGGUGCGUUUCAUACUGGAAUGCUAGAGUGCGAGAGAGGAAAGUGGAAUUCCUAGUGUAGAGGUGAAAUUCGUAGAUAUUAGGAAGAACACCAGAGGCGAAGGCGGCUCACUGGCCCGGUACUGACGCUGAGGUGCGAAAGCGUGGGGAGCAAACAGG